rnacentral:tRNA from 1 species
AGUUCCAUGGUGUAAUGGUUAGCACUCCAGACUUUGAAUCUGGUGAUCCGAGUUCAAGUCUUGGUGGAACCU